AUUUAGAGGAAGUAAAAGUCGUAACAAGGUCUCCGUAGGUGAACCUGCGGAGGGAUCAUUACACAAAUAUGAAGGCGGGCUGGAACCUCUCGGGGUUACAGCCUUGCUGAAUUAUUCACCCUUGUCUUUUGCGUACUUCUUGUUUCCUUGGUGGGUUCGCCCACCACUAGGACAAACAUAAACCUUUUGUAAUUGCAAUCAGCGUCAGUAACAAAUUAAUAAUUACAACUUUCAACAACGGAUCUCUUGGUUCUGGCAUCGAUGAAGAACGCAGCGAAAUGCGAUAAGUAGUGUGAAUUGCAGAAUUCAGUGAAUCAUCGAAUCUUUGAACGCUCAUUGCGCCCUUUGGUAUUCCAAAGGGCAUGCCUGUUCGAGCGUCAUUUGUACCCUCAAGCUUUGCUUGGUGUUGGGCGUCUUGUCUCUAGCUUUGCUGGAGACUCGCCUUAAAGUAAUUGGCAGCCGGCCUACUGGUUUCGGAGCGCAGCACAAGUCGCACUCUCUAUCAGCAAAGGUCUAGCAUCCAUUAAGCCUUUUUUUUUCAACUUUUGACCUNGGAUCAGG
rnacentral:rRNA from 1 species